rnacentral:rRNA from 1 species
AGGGGCAGCAUGGGCGUGGCAACACGCCCGAUGGCGACCGGCGCACUGGUGAGUAACACGUAUGCAACCUGCCCCGCGCAGGGGGAUAAUCCGGAGAAAUCUGGUCUAAUACCCCGUACGCCUCCAUCCCGCAUGGAGUGGAGGUGAAAGGAUCUUUUCCGGCACGGGAUGGGCAUGCGGCGCAUUAGCUAGUCGGCGGGGUGACGGCCCACCGAGGCGACGAUGCGUAGGGGUUCUGAGAGGAAGGUCCCCCACACUGGUACUGAGACACGGACCAGACUCCUACGGGAGGCAGCAGUGAGGAAUAUUGGUCAAUGGACGGAGGUCUGAACCAGCCAAGUCGCGUGAGGGAUGACGGCCCUACGGGUUGUAAACCUCUUUUGCGGGGGAGUAAAGUGCGCAACGCGUUGCGCAUUGCGAGUACCCCGAGAAAAAGCAUCGGCUAAUUCCGUGCCAGCAGCCGCGGUAAUACGGAAGAUGCGAGCGUUAUCCGGAUUUAUUGGGUUUAAAGGGUGCGCAGGCGGCGCGUCAAGUCAGCGGUCAAAGUUCCGGGCUCAACCCGGUGAUGCCGUUGAAACUGGCGAGCUUGAGUUCGUGGGAGGAAGGCGGAAUGCGCGGUGUAGCGGUGAAAUGCAUAGAUAUCACGCAGAACCCCGAUUGCGAAGGCAGCCUUCCAUCACGCCACUGACGCUGAGGCACGAAAGCGUGGGUAUCGAACAGGAUUAGAUACCCUGGUAGUCCACGCA